ACGCGAGUAGGCCGCAGAGAAUAGUCUCAAGCGACUGUUUAGCAAAAACACAGGUCUAUGCUAAAUCGAAAGAUGAUGUAUAUGGGCUGACGCCUGCCCGGUGCUGGAAGGUUAAGGGGAAGUGUUAGAGCAAUCGAAGCACUGAACUUAAGCCCCAGUAAACGGCGGCCGUAACUAUAACGGUCCUAAGGUAGCGAAAUUCCUUGUCAGGGAAGUUCUGACCCGCACGAAUGGCGUAACGACUUGAGAGCUGUCUCAACAACAUACCCGGCGAAAUUGAAGUACUGGUAAAGAUGCCAGUUACCCGUGAUAAGACGGAAAGACCCCAUGGAGCUUUACUGUAACUUGAUAUUGAAUUUUUGUAUUACAUGUACAGGAUAGGUGGGAGACAGAGAACUAAUGCCGCCAGGUGUUAGGGAGUCGAUGUUGGGAUACCACUCUUGUAAUAUUGGAAGGUUCUAACCUGCACCCGUGAAUCCGGGUGGGGGACACUGUCAGGUGGGCAGUUUGACUGGGGCGGUCGCCUCCUAAAAGGUAACGGAGGCGUUCAAAGGUUGGUUCAGCACGGACGGAAAUCGUGCAACGAGUGCAAACGCAUAAACCAGCCUAACUGCGAGACCGACAAGUCGAGCAGUAACGAAAGUUGGAGUUAGUGAUCCGGCGGUAUGAGAGUGGAAUUGCCGUCGCUCAACGGAUAAAAGCUACCCUGGGGAUAACAGGCUGAUCUCCCCCAAGAGUCCACAUCGACGGGGAGGUUUGGCACCUCGAUGUCGGCUCAUCGCAUCCUGGAGCUGUAGUCGGUUCCAAGGGUUGGGCUGUUCGCCCAUUAAAGCGGUACGCGAGCUGGGUUCAGAACGUCGCGAGACAGUUCGGUCCCUAUCUAUCACGGGCGUAGGAAAUUUGAGGAGAGCUGACCUUAGUACGAGAGGACCGGGUUGGACGUACCGCUGGUGCACCAGUUGUUCUGCCAAGGGCAUAGCUGGGUAGCUAAGUACGGACGGGAUAAACGCUGAAGGCAUCUAAGCGUGAAGCCCCCUUCGAGAUAAGAUUUCCCAUAGCGUAGGCUAGUAAGGACCCAUGAAGACUACAUGGUUGAUAGGCCAGAGGUGGAAGUGCAGUAAUGUAUG
rnacentral:rRNA from 1 species